UACGUAGGGGGCGAGCGUUUGUCCGGAUUUAUUGGGCGUAAAGCGCACGUAGGCGGACUCUUAAGUCGGUGGUGAAAUCCUGGAGCUCAACUCCAGAACUGCCUUCGAUACUGGGGAGUCUCGAGUCCCGGGGAGAGGUGAGUGGAACUGCGAGUGUAGCGGUGAAAAUGCGUAGAUAUCGAGAGGAACACCUGCGGCGAAGGCGGGGUUGCUGGGGCUGAUACUGACGUG
rnacentral:rRNA from 1 species